rnacentral:rRNA from 1 species
UGGGGAAUAUUGGACAAUGGGGGGAACCCUGAUCCAGCCAUGCCGCGUGUGUGAAGAAGGCCUUAUGGUUGUAAAGCACUUUAAGCGAGGAGGAGGGUACUGGUAUUAAUACUACCAGGUACUGGACGUUACUCGCAGAAUAAGCACCGGCUAACUCUGUGCCAGCAGCCGCGGUAAUACAGAGGGUGCGAGCGUUAAUCGGAUUUACUGGGCGUAAAGCGUGCGUAGGCGGCUAAUUGAGUCGGAUGUGAAAUCCCCGAGCUUAACUUGGGAAUUGCAUUCGAUACUGGUUAGCUAGAGUGUGGGAGAGGAUGGUAGAAUUCCAGGUGUAGCGGUGAAAUGCGUAGAGAUCUGGAGGAAUACCGAUGGCGAAGGCAGCUAUCUGGCCUAACACUGACGCUGAGGUACGAAAGCAUGGGGAGCAAACAGG